rnacentral:rRNA from 1 species
AAUCAACGCUGGCGGCGUGCCUCAGACAUGCAAGUCGAACGAUUAAAGCUCUCUUCGGAGAGUGUAUAGAGUGGCGCACGGGUGAGUAACACGUAAGUAAUCUACCUUUGAGUGGGAAUAACAAUCGGAACGGUUAGCUAAUACCGCAUAAUGCAGCGGCAUCGCAAGAUGACAGUUGUUAAAGGAGCAAUCCGCUUAAAGAGGAGCUUGCGGCAGAUUAGCUAGUUGGUAAGGUAACGGCUUACCAAGGCUACGAUCUGUAUCCGGUCUAAGAGGACGGUCGGACACACUGACACUGAAUAACGGGUCAGACUCCUACGGGAGGCAGCAGUCGGGAA